rnacentral:rRNA from 1 species
AUCUACUGCCAUGCCACUCUGAACAAGCCGGAUGUCUGAUCUCAGAAGUUAAGCAGGGUCAGGCCUGGUUAGUACUUGGAUGGGAGACUACCUAGGAAGACCAGGUACUACAGGUA